rnacentral:rRNA from 1 species
UCGAGCGGCGAACGGGUGAGUAACACGUGGAUAACCUGCCCAGAGGUGGGGGAUAACCCGGGGAAACUCGGGCUAAUACCGCAUGAUACCGAGAGGUCAAAGGCGGCUCGCAAGAGCUGUCGCCAUUGGAGGGGUCCGCGUCCGAUUAGCUAGUUGGUAGGGUAAUGGCCUACCAAGGCGACGAUCGGUAGCCGGCCUGAGAGGGUGAUCGGCCACACUGGAACUGAGACACGGUCCAG